CCUACGGGGCGCAGCAGUGAGGAAUAUUGGUCAAUGGGCGCGAGCCUGAACAAGCCAAGUCGCGUGAGGGAUGAAGGUUCUAUGGAUCGUAAACCUAUUUUAUAAGGGAAUAAAGUGUGGGACGUGUCCUAUUUUGUAUGUACCUUAUGAAUAAGGAUCGGCUAACUCCGUGCCAGCAGCCGCGGUAAUACGGAGGAUCCGAGCGUUAUCCGGAUUUAUUGGGUUUAAAGGGUGCGUAGGCGGCCUUUUAAGUCAGCGGUGAAAGUUUGGGGCUCAACCAUAGAAUUGCCGUUGAAACUGGGGGGCUUGAGUAUGUUUGAGGCAGGCGGAAUGCGUGGUGUAGCGGUGAAAUGCUUAGAUAUCACGCAGAACCCCGAUUGCGAAGGCAGACUGCCAAGCCAUGACUGACGCUGAUGCACGAAAGCGUGGGCAUCAAACAGGAUUAGAUACCCCGGUAGUC
rnacentral:rRNA from 1 species